UACGUAGGGUGCGAGCGUUAGUCGGAAUUACUGGGCGUAAAGCGUGCGUAGGCGGUUCGUUAAGUUCGUUGUGAAAGCCCCGGGCUCAACCUGGGAAUGGCAAUGGAAACUGGCGGGCUGGAGUAUGGCAGAGGGGGGUGGAAUUCCGCGUGUAGCAGUGAAAUGCGUAGAGAUGCGGAGGAACACCGAUGGCGAAGGCAGCCCCCUGGGCCAAUACUGACGCUCAGGCACGAAAGCGUGGGGAGCAAACAGG
rnacentral:rRNA from 1 species